UACGUAGGGGGCAAGCGUUGUCCGGAAUCACUGGGCGUAAAGCGCACGUAGGCGGAUUUUUAAGUCGGGGGGUGAAAUCCCGGAGCUCAACUCCGGAACUGCCUUCGAUACUGGAAAUCUUGAGUCCGGGAGAGGUGAGUGGAACUCCGAGUGUAGAGGUGAAAUUCGUAGAUAUUCGGAAGAACACCAGUGGCGAAGGCGGCUCACUGGCCCGGUACUGACGCUGAGGUGCGAAAGCGUGGGGAGCAAACAGG
rnacentral:rRNA from 1 species